rnacentral:rRNA from 1 species
ACUCAAACAUGUGCAGAGGGGAAUAGCAGAUUAUGCGUCUCCGUGAGAGACUACUACUGCUACAUGCUGCAAACACGGCCUGUGAUCUUCAAUCCAAUACUCUGUGGAGCACGCCUACUGCAGCAAUGGGCGGUUGACAUGUACAUCAAGAUUGAGAGCUGUCGGUUGAGGUGGUACAGGAAGAACCAGACGCAGAUCCGUGCCGACUUGUAUAAAGGAGUUGUUGAUGCGAUCACAUCGGGGGAGACGCGAGCAAGCGCUGUUGGGGUAAGAAUAGUG